UUUCUCUGAGAGCCCAUCCCUUCCUCUUCGUUUUCCCUCUUUGUGAAAGGAUCGCCGGAGCCCCAUCACCGCCGGAGCCGCCAUCACCGUUGGGAAGCCACACGUCGACGACCGGAGGUGAGGAAGAUCACUAAUUUACUAUUUUUAUAGAUUUAAAAGGGAAGGAAUGAGGGUUGCUAACUGGUUUUCACUUCCCCUGUUUCGGAGAAGUUUCUUUUGCGGGAUUCGGCCGGCCGACGGCGGCCGGCCGGGGUCAAUCCGGCCGAAAUGGGUUCGGCCGGAGGUGGGUGAACGGGGGCCGGGCUUCCAGCCCCCGGUCUCCCUCUCUUUCCUCUCUUUUCUUCCUCUCUCUCUCUCCUUCUUCUCUUCUUCUUCCCUU
rnacentral:lncRNA from 1 species